AAACAUCUCCCAGGGUCACAUACAAGUUAAGAGAUAUAUGUUGACACUAAUAUUUGAUAGAUGGGUAAGUUAAGUUUAACAAGCAUGUUUUCACUUUUCCUUAUAAUGUCAGUUGUGUUGAUGAUGAGAAUUGAAGUGGAUGGACAAAAAACUGAAGUUUGUGAAGAUAGUUGGCUUAGACUUAAAUCAUGUGGAGGUGUGAUUUGUUACAAAGAAUGUGUGAAAAAAUGGCCAACCUUCAUAUCUGCACGUUGCACAUUUCUCAAUUGCGUUUGUGCCUACGCUUGUUAAUUAAUUGAUUAUUAUUAACUAAGAUUUUUGAUUUGCUUGGUUGUGAUAAAAAGCAAAAUUUUUCUUUUAACUUUGAAGUUAAAAAUUGUGGUUAUUAUCUAAAGUAGUAACAAGUGCUGGUAUGUGUGUAACUUGAUCAUUGUUAAAGAAAUAAGUUGGUGGUGGUGAUUUGAAUAAUUAAGUUAAUUAAGUUGUAAUUGUUGACUUUAUCAAAAUUGAAUGAAUAACUAGUUUAGCUAUAA